rnacentral:rRNA from 1 species
UGGGGAAUCUUGCACAAUGGAGGAAACUCUGAUGCAGCGACGCCGCGUGAGCGAAGAAGCCUUUCGGGGUGUAAAGCUCUUACGCCAGGGACGAUAAUGACGGUACCUGAGAAGCAGCUGCGGCUAACUACGUGCCAGCAGCCGCGGUAAUACGUAGGCAGCAAGCGUUGUUCGGAAUUACUGGGCGUAAAGGGUGCGUAGGCGGCGCUCUAAGUUUGGUGUGAAAUCUCCCGGCUUAACUGGGAGGGUGCACUGAAAACUGGGGCGCUCGAGUAUGGGAGAGGACAGCGGAAUUCCUGGUGUAGCGGUGAAAUGCGUAGAGAUCAGGAGGAACACCUGCGGUGCAGACGGCUUUCUGGACCAUCACUGACGCUGAGGCACGAAAGCGUGGGUAGCAAACA